CCAUUACUGAGGAGUUCCACAAUUGGACGAAACGGCCGUCCAGUGC
rfam:Schistosoma curassoni strain Dakar, Senegal genome assembly, scaffold: SCTD_contig0003848